GACAGAGGCCCCGAGCGUUAGGCGGAAUCACUGGGCUUAAAGCGUGUGUAGGCGGAUCGUUAAGUGUCUUGUGAAAUCCCACGGCUCACCCGUGGAACUGCUGGGCAUACUGGCGAUCUUGGGCCAUUCAGGGGCGACUGGAACAAGCGGUGGAGCGGUGAAAUGCGUAGAUAUCGCUUGGAACGCCGACGGUGAAAACAGGUCGCUGGGAAUGUGCCGACGCUGAGACACGAAAGCCAGGGGAGCAAACGGG
rnacentral:rRNA from 1 species